GUCGUGGUGACUCGGAUCUGGCUCUCUCCGCAAGCGCCGCCCCGGGGCGCCUCCAGGGAUCUGGGAAAGAUUAUCUUUGCAGAAAUGGGCCCUGAUUCCCCUGAAGCAGAGAAGACUCCCUUGGACACCAGAGAGAGGCCACCAGGUGACAAAACGUUGCCGACCAAA